AAUUAACCGGUUUUGUUUUCUGUGAUGAAACAAUAAUUUGAAUAAAAAAUUAAUAAUUUGUUUAAAGCAUGGUUUUAACCCGUAUAUGCCCAGUGUUGCAAAAAUGCAACGUACCAUUUUUUAAAAUAGAAUUUUCUUGUUCUUUCCAUUAAAUGUUAUUUCGGGUUCUAUUUUUAGCUUUACCCUUAGGGCGGGAUGUACUCAAACAAAAUAUGACUCAUUUGCUUUUCGGUUUUAUUGACAACCUUCAUUUGUGUUGUACAUUCCAAAUUGAACGUUCUUGAAGGAGAAAUAUCUCAAGAAAACUCAAUAAUUGGCAUCCGGGUCGGCUGCCAUAUCAGGUUGGCCGUGUCGGGGAAGGAAAACGUCAGUGCACCCGCGGGAAUGAUGUCAACAGUAAGCAGAAAAGAAACCCCGUAGGAGGGGAGAGAA